UACGUAGGGUGCAAGCGUUUGUCCGGAAUUAUUGGGCGUAAAGAGCUCGUAGGCGGUUUGUCGCGUCUGCUGUGAAAACGCGAGGCUCAACCUCGCGCCUGCAGUGGGUACGGGCAGACUAGAGUGCGGUAGGGGAGAUUGGAAUUCCUGGUGUAGCGGUGGAAUGCGCAGAUAUCAGGAGGAACACCGAUGGCGAAGGCCAGAUCUCUGGGCCGUA
rnacentral:rRNA from 1 species